rnacentral:rRNA from 1 species
GGAAACCUACGGGGGGCAGCAGUAGGGAAUCUUCCACAAUGGACGAAAGUCUGAUGGAGCAACGCCGCGUGAGUGAAGAAGGGUUUCGGCUCGUAAAGCUCUGUUGGUAGUGAAGAAAGAUAGAGGUAGUAACUGGCCUUUAUUUGACGGUAAUUACUUAGAAAGUCACGGCUAACUACGUGCCAGCAGCCGCGGUAAUACGUAGGUGGCAAGCGUUGUCCGGAUUUAUUUGGCGUAAAGCGAGUGCAGGCGGGUCAAUAAGGCUGAUGUGAAAGCCUUUGGCUCAACCG